rnacentral:rRNA from 1 species
UCCAGACUCCUACGGGAGGCAGCAGUGGGGAAUAUUGCACAAUGGGGGAAACCCUGAUGCAGCAACGCCGCGUGAGUGAGGAAGUAUUUCGGUAUGUAAAGCUCUAUCAGCAGGGAAUAGAAAAGAAGGUACCUGAAAAAGAAGCCCCGGCUAACUACGUGCCAGCAGCCGCGGUAAUACGUAGGGGGCAAGCGUUAUCCGGAUUUACUGGGUGUAAAGGGGGCGCAGACGGCAAUGCAAGCCAGGAGUGAAAGCCCGGGGCCCAACCCCGGGACUGCUCUUGGAACUGCAUGGCUGGAGUACAGGAGGGGCAGGCGGAAUUCCUAGUGUAGCGGUGAAAUGCGUAGAUAUUAGGAGGAACACCGGUGGCGAAGGCGGCCUGCUGGACUGUGACUGACGUUGAGGCCCGAAGGCGUGGGGAGCAAACAGGAUUAGAUACCCUAGUA